UCCUUCUUCCAAUUUUGCCCCCCAAUUGAAUGUCAUCAAACCUAAUUGAUGAAUGAAACUGAAUAAUCAAUGUCGUAGUUCCCCAAUCGAUUCAUUGUGAAGAGACUACAUCAUAUUCCCUUAAUAAGUUCCUAAGUUGUAUCAAUUUCUCAAACAAAAUCAAACCCUAAUGUUCCAAUCAAUGUCAAUCGAUCAAACAGUAUGAAUCCGCUGGUGAUGGUAGCGAUGGGUUUUUUUAGAACCCUAAUCCUCUACCGCUUCCGGCGGCGGAAUGGGUACGAACCCAGGCGGCACUAACCACAGGGAAUAGUCCGAUGAUGAUGAUGACAGGUUCAUUCGAAGGCUAAACGACUUAAUAAGCCCGCAUUGAAGAAUUCAUGAGUUGGCAGGCGGGCUAGAUUUUGGAUUGUUUAUUAGAAACAGCAGAAUAUCGUAUUUGUCAAGAGGAAGAUUCAGUUGAUACUUUAGAGACUCCGUGUGCUUACAACGGCAGUCUUAAGUAUGCUCACAGGAAGUGUGCCCAACAUUGGUGCAACGAAAAGGGUGACAUCACUUGUGAAAUAUGCGACCAACCUUACCAACCUGGCUAUAUUGCUCCCCCUCCCUGACCUCGUUUGGAAGAGACUACUAUCGAUAUCGGCAUCGAGCAGGUGUUGAUCAACAAUACCAACAUCAUUUACAUUUUAGUUCACCUGCUCGAUCAUCAAAAUGGAAAAAAAAAAAGAUGUUUCAUAGGACAGACCCGACAAGUGUGGGCCCCACUAAGGGUAACGGAGUAGGCGAAGUGAAGCAAGCAACAUGGGUAAAUUCGGAAAAACAACCUGCUGAUGAUGGUAACCUGUGUUAUGCCAUUCCAGAGGAUGAUAACUGGACUGACCAGUGCAUUGACUUUGCAGUCAAAACACAUUUGCAAAUGAAAUUUUGUUUAAUGGUCAGCCAAGUGGAGACUACAGGUGAAGUGAUGGGUCGUGGGUUUCUCAUUGAUUAUUGAGGUAAUUAGACUUUGAUAUCAUGUUGUGUAUGUUGAUUACUUCUAUGAAUUUUGGUUGCCAUCGUUCGUGGUUAAAUAUGGCAGUUCCUGAUUUUAAUAUUUUUAA